UAGUCUUCUAUAACAGGGCGCAUGCGCAGAAGGAUUCGGCCUCGUAAUACUAGCAGUAGUAAUAGGUGGAUUUUGGUUAUGUAACCGCUCCAUCAUCAUGUUUCAAAUGUCAUACUAAAUACCCAAGAGGAAAUAACACGGCAAAACCUUCCCCAAAGUGUUUUACCCACCCAUAACCCCGCAUUCCCAUCGGCCCCCCUUACCAUAGGAUAGAGGUCAAAGGGAUGGAUGAUGUAUAUGUAGAACCAAAACUCCAGCACUGAUGCCCAGGGAUUGGUUUCUUAUUGGGUGGAAUUUCUACCCCAGUAAGAAGUGAUAAAAGAAAAAUUAGAAGAAUGCCCUUGAUGAGGUUACCUCGAGUGUUACUUUGGUUUCACAGUCAGCAGUGUUCAGUUUACCAGCAUGCCCCACUCAUCAGCUGGGUGUUUCUUUGUUCUUCAAGGACAGGUGAAGGCUCCAGCCAUUUUCUCAACAAGGACCCAAGAUUGAAGCUUCAGCCAUGUGUGCAUGUGAUAAGGGUCUUGUGGUUAAUGGCAACAGUUGAUCAAUGGAAGCAGACAGCAGGAUGAUAUCCAUGUUGUUGAAGGAAGUUGUCUAAGCAAUUGUUUUCAUGCUAAGGACUCAAUACCUUUAACUGGAAGCUGAUUGAGCAUUGUCUUAAGAAGAGUCAAGUGUUAUAGAUUGACUUCACCAUUUAGUGACACCUCUGUCUUUACUCCACACUUUCAAGUUCCUUGAAGAGAAUAAUAGGAUAUAUGGAAUUAAGUGACAUAGGCCAAGAACUUGGACCCCAAGGAAAUGAGAGUUAAACCAAGUGGUAAGAUGAUAAGAUAUAGAAAGGUCACUUUAGCAGUGAACAAAAGUAUGGUAGACUUGAGCUUCACUUGGAGAGGUUAAGAGCCCUGGACAGUGAGAGGAAGUUAGCAUCAGCAGGCAGACAAUAUACAAGUCAGGAGAAGAUUGAAAAAGAAUGGACAUAUAGCUUUAUUGUGCCUAGUAUCUAUAGAGAAGGGUGACAUCCAGGAGUGUGCAAAUUACAGAGGAAUAAAGCUCAUGUCUCACAUCGUGAAAAUCUGGGAAAGAAGAGUAUACAUCAAAGGAUUAAUGAAGAAACAUAUGUAGGUGAAGACUAGUUUGGUUUCAUGCCAGAAAGAGGAACAACAGAUGCAGUCAUAGCAUUUGCCCUUCAACAGAUGGAAAAGCACCAGGAAAAGGAAAAAGGACUGCACUUAGUAUUAAUAGAUCUGGAAAAGGCAUAUGGUGGAGUCUCACGCCAAGAUAUCUGGACGUGUGUGUGAGUAAAGGGAACACCGAAAAAGUAUGAGUAUGUGAGGUUGAUUCAAGGCCACAGCAGCAAGCAUCUGCCUAAUGCCCUUCAUAACCCAGAGGCCUUGUUCUUCAACAUGGUGACCAUAUUCAGGUCUAAAAUGACCUCAACAUCCCACAAACUGACGCCGUCCUCUUGUUCCUGCCAGAUAACGUUUAAGGAAAUUACAGAAUGGCCUGCCAACCAACAGACCACCAUAACCUACUAGGCAAUCGCUGAACUACCAACUAAGGUCAUCCUUCAGUAUGCCAGCAGCCAUCGCACGUCUACAACCAGCUGUCGCGGCUAGUGAUGAUCCCUGCCCCAGACAGCCACUCAGAAACUACGUUGAACCUUGUGAGAGAGGUCCUACUCACAAAAUUACCCCAUCAAACAGUGCAACCAUCCCAGUACAUUGACCAUGCCCCUCAACAAAUUCCUGAAAAUUGUCAACGCUAUUCACUUGGCACACAAGUCAACCAAGUCACACAACCACCCAUUGCAGCGGCCGCCAUACAGAGACGGACAGUGGGACAGAGGGCCCUGCUGCCACCAUACACUGCUGCUGAAGCUUCUGCAGGGAGAACAAGCCAAAAUUACAAGCUCAAAAGAGAAUAAUGUCCCAUGCAUAUAUUUCUAUCACUGGAGGUUUGGAAGUGAAGUCCAAAAAUGCCCCAUGUCAAACACUAUGCAAAUGGGCUGCCAAGUAGACAUAUUGCCUCUUAGGAGGUAACAAUUCUGUCUAUCAUUGUCUUGUUUCCAGGUACAGGGAGAAAGGCUCCGUGUGUUUUUUCAUCACUGACAAGCUCAAACACAGCACUCUCCAGGUGUCCACUGCCAGUAGGCCCAGCUAAAAAAUAUAGGGAUAACAGAUCAUGAAUUUGUCGUUUGGAGGAUAGCAGUACAACUGGACAUUAAUCACAGCAGAUAGCAAGACAGCAGUUGAUCUUGUGAUCCACCCCCAUAGCUCCACUCACUCCAACUCCAGCACCAGAGGUACAUUACCUCCUACUGGAGUUUUCAGAGGUAUUAAAGGACGAUCUGCAACAUGACCUGACCAUAUCCAUGAAGCACCACAUCCAGCAUCAGUCACUGAGGAUUCUCCAGUCCACUCCGACUUCAGACGUUUGGCUUUAGACAAGCUUGUCUACACCAAACCAGCUUUCCAGGAUGUUGAACCAGCAGGAAUGUCAAAAAUCCUCCAGCCCAUGAUUAAACAAUAAAACUGCAAGAAAACACCUGGAAAAGCAGAAAGAACUGCACAAAUUUUUGCAACCAAGAGACAAGGCCUACGAGAUGUCAGUGGUUGGUGAAUAUCAAUAGGCUUUGCCAAGCACACCAGAAGUCGGGACUCUCAUGAGAGCCUCCACUGGGGCCCUCCAAGAACAUCAAACGAAGACUGACCACGAGGGCCAACUUCUGACGUGGUUGCCAGAUACACAGACCAGGGAUAAGCUGUAGAAACAAUAUUUAUUUUGUAUUCUUGUCAGACACAGUCACCUAUGCAUAAAAAUGCAACUGUGUACAAAUGUAAGAACAUUUUAGCUUUCAAGCUGUAUGUAUCAAACUGGUAUUGUCUUCCAUGGCAUAUAGUACAAGGGAAUAGUUAGUCUUCAUGUGUAAGAAAACACACUUUCUCUCAGUCACUUGUAUGCCCUUCUUGUUCUCUGUUUAAAUUGUACUUUUCCUCUCACAAUUGUUAAUGACAUAUGUCCAGAGUUUUGAUGAAUAAAUUAGUAUA